rnacentral:lncRNA from 1 species
UUAUAAAAUUAUAAUACUGAUCUAAAUAAGACUUUUUUUUGUUAUAUUCCUAAUGUUGUGCUUGGUUUGGGUAUAAGUAAGAACUGUUUAAUUUAGAGACAGAUAUAAGUUCAAGUAUAAACAAGAAUUAAACCAAUUUUACGGUUGAGAGAAAAUUGGGUUGUUUUUAGGAAUAAAGUAAAUAGUAUUUUGAUAGUUAGAUUAGAACAAGAGGAAUAAGAGUUGUAGUUUUAAAUUAAAAAUAUUUUAUAUAAUUAAUUACCAUCAAAAUAUUAAUUAAAAAUAAUUUAAUAAAUUAAUAAGUUUAGUUAGUAAAUUAUUUUAGUCAGAUAACUAGUAAAAAAAAUUAAUUAGAUUAAUUAAUAAAAAUAUGAAUGGUUGAUCAAUGUAAAUAUUUAUUAUUUUAUGGAUAAACAUAUUAAAUUAUUAAUAAUUAAUUAACUAAUUAAUUACAAGUAAUAAAUUAAUUAGUUAUUUUAUUAUUUAAGCAAUAAAUAAUAAUUAAAAUAUAUUAAUUAGAUUGGAUUAAUUAAUAAUUUAAUACUAUAGUUUAAAUUAAAUUUAGACUUUAGUUAAUCUUAUUUCCACGUAGGAACAAGCUUGUUCCAGAAAAAAUGGUGAAAUAGCGGUUCCAGAUUUAUACCGAAUUAUACAAAUUUAUUUUAAGGACCGAGAAUAAUUAUUUUUGGGUACUAAAAUUUACGUUUAGGUAUAAAGGGGCGAUGACCCCCUAUUGCCGAACCAAACAGUACCUUAUGGAAUUGAUUUGAACGAUAUUAUAAAUGAUAUAACUGUUACGGAUUAGACUUUUUUUACUCGUAAAGUUGAUGUUGAUGCUUGGAAGAACUUUUGUUCACCGAUAAACCCCAAUUUCUCUUUAGACAUGAUUUAUCCUCGAUCAACGCGUUUUUAGCAACUUAUCCAGUGGAGCUCCAGCUAGCUUGAGGAUCCUCUUUCUAAAUAUUCAGUACCAUGCGGUUCGGUGUCGGCGCUCCAGAGAAAACUUCGUUUCAACUAUUACUAAAAAAAUAUUCAGUACCAUGCGGUUGUUUUUUUUAGCUUGCCCCGGAGGCCCUAGCUGCUUCCACACUGUAUGCUUAGUUCAUUUUGCUUAAUGAAUGAAGCAUUCGUUACCUCUUUCUCAAAAAAAAAAGAAAAAAAAAAAAAAAAAAAAAAAAAAAAACUAUUACUAAAAAAAGUUCCUUAGUUGUACGUAAAAUUACUAAAAAUGAUUUUUUAAAAAUUAUUGAAAGGAAACUUUAGAUUUAUUAAUAUUUGCAUUUAGUUUGAAAAAAUGAAAAAUAGUAAAGGGGGGUACGUAAGCGAGAGCAGUGGAAAUAUUAGAGAGGUGCAUUAAUUAGUUUUAAUUAUUUUUGCUGGUUUUUUUUUUAAAAAAAAAGUGUUUUUAAAUAACACAUAUAAGACAAUUAAUUAUUUUUCAUCGAAAGAUGUUAAUUUUAUAUGGAAUGAAAUAGUUGAAAAGAUUCUAUUGAGAACUAUUUUGGGACCUAUUUUAUGCGUGAUCGAUCAGGCGCUCCCUAAACAUAUUAGUUAAUAAGCUAAUUAAGUUCCGCCGCGUCCACGUUGGACUCAUAUGUGCGCUCGAUGCACUUCCAUGGCACAUCUCAGUAAAAAUAUAUUUUUUAUUUUAUUUAUUUGCAUAUAUAAUAUAAUAUGAUAAUUUUUUUUUAUUUUUUUUGAAUGCAUGUAGCCACUUUUUGAAGAAUUUUUUUUUAAAAAAAUUAUAUGAAUUAUUAAAUUUUUAUAAAAAAUAUAGUAAUUUUUUUACGAAAUUGAUAAUAUUAUACUUUAUUAGUCUUAUUCAUGUCGUGAUCGUAUUCUAUUUUUUUUUUGAAGCUGCGAGUCACCAUAUGCGAAUCAUGUCGUGUUCUGUAUCUAGCGUCCGUGUUCGUAGCGUCUAAAUUCUAAUUAAUCAUCACAUUCUGACAAGCUGCCAAAUAGGAAUGUCAACAGGUCGAAUUCGGAAAGAUUUUUUAUAAACCCGAACCUGAACCCGGUCACUUAACCGGAAACUCGGAUCCGAAUUUGAAUUCGAUGGAUUUUACAAGAUCAUAUCCAAACCCGACCCUGAUCAAAAGUCUGCGACCCGAAUCCAAACCUGAAAGCCCGAACCGGAAAUAAUUAUUUCUCUUUACUAUAUUUCAAAAUAUAUUAUUACAUUGAAUCUAAAUUUUUAAAAUACAAAUUCAAAUAUAACAUUAAAUAUUUAUAUAUAUAUCAUAUAAUCUAAAAUUAAUUCGGGUUUGGAUAUCGGAUUCAAAAUUCGAGUCAGAUACAGAUAAAAUUCAUAUCUGAAUUCAAAUCCGUCGAAUUUUUUGUAAUUUAUAUCAGUAUCGAAAACUAUAUCCGUUUAAGAUUGGAUAAAUUCAUCAUAUACAGAUUCAGAUUUGAAUGAAAUUUAGAUAUCUGUACCUAUCGACAUUACUACUACAAAUUGAUAAAUGUGUUUGUGGUCGCAUGAAAGUAUCUGUGAUUAAUAGAAAACAUUUUCUGCUCUCCAGACUGCCAACUGGAUCCGGUACUUGUCCGUCCCCACCCCUGCAUCCCGGAAGCUGCCGCCGGACCAAAAAGUAUUCGAUCUCUGUAGAUCGAAAAUGGCCACUAAUUCCAGAAAGCUAGUUUCGGAAAAGGACCUCGCAUGUGUACGGUUCACAUCACCUCUUAAAUUAAGACUUGUAUUAUUAUUAUAUCAUAUGACCCGUACGUUCUCAUAUGUCAUGGUGAUGGGUCAACCUAGAAAUUAAGGUAGAAACCGUAUGUAGUCAACCGAAACAAGCAUGUGUUCUCACUUCUCUUUCUUUUCUCUGUUUCUUUUUAGUUUUUUUCUUACAAAUAGUAGAAUAUAAAGUUUUUGUUUUUACCCGAGAGAAAGAUAGGAAUUAAUCUACAUAUUUUGUUCUUAUUUUAGAAAUAAAUUAAUCAGUUAAAAACGUAAAAUAAUUAAACUUCGAAUUUGGGACCUUGGAUACUAACGAUCAAAUGCUUUUUUAGCCAACUACAGUAGGAAUAAUCAAUAGUAAAAUAUAAAGUUUUGAGUGAGAAAAAAGAGAAAGGAAGAACUGUAUAUAUGCUUCACGUAUAAAAUUAUAUUUGGUUUAAAGUAGCUGGAAUAAGAAUAAAAAAUAUAUCUUCAAACAAUUACUCAGGAUACUGAUGUCAUAAAAAUUACUCCAGCUAUGCACUAAUUCAAUAAUCCCGCUUACGUAUGUAAAAGAUACCCAGACGUGAUAAAUGAGUUACUUGUUGAAAAUAUUGAAGAGGAAUUUGUUAUGGACUUUAAUAGCAUAUUAUUCAAAAGAGCAACAAAUGUAUUUAAUAUACAAUUUUUAUUUUAUUUUAUUUUAUUUAUUUUGUUUUUUUUUUUGUUUUUUUUUUUUCACUCACCUUGCUUGAGGUCUGCUGUUGCCUCACCCUUGUAGUCUAAUUCAUACAUUCAAUGAAUGAAACAGGUAGCGUGCUACUUUUAUCUCAAAAGAAAUAUAUACACUAUAGUCCAAAUACUAAAAUUGCUUCUGGAUUAUCUUAUUUUGUCACUACAACAAAAACGGUCUAUAGCGACACUUUUAAAUGUAGGUACAUGUCAAAAAAGUGCUGCUAACUAAAAUUACCGACACUUUUAAAAAGUGUUACUAUAUGUGGGGUCGCUAGGUAUAUAGUGACAGUUAAAGAGUGUCGCUAUAACCUAAAAGAGUGCUGCUAAUUUACCAACACUUAUUUGAGCAUUUAGCAACCGCCGAAAUUCUAUCUCGUUGGCUGCGGUGGCGGAGCUCUUCGUCUAGAAUUUCAGUGGAUUGAGUAUACGGAACUCUAAUCAAACUUGACCGUAACAAUUUUAAAAAUUUGAAUAAAAAAUUAUAAUAAAUUAAAAUUUAAAAACCAAAGUAUACGGAACUCUAAUCAAAAAUGCAAUUUAGCCUUGCUAUUGCACGCGGAUAACAUUAAAUAUAUUUUUGUAUUUAUUUCUCCAAUGUUACUAUACAAUGAAGCUUUUGCGUACCACUGCUACAUCUGGUGUGGCAGUAAUUAACCGGCAUUGGCCAGCGACAACGUGUCGAAUCAGAAAAGGCAAACACUAGUACAAAACAAACUGCUUUGACAUACGUAAACCAUUCUUCUACAUAAAAGUAAGAGUCCUCUAAAUUAUUAUCUAUAUAGCACUUAGUUAUAUAUAUAUAGUUAUUAAAUCCAUGUUUUGAUGCUUCCUUUUACCUUCUCUCUCCCCUAGUAGGUAAUAUUACUACAGUGCUGGAUCUACCAAACCUAUGAUCUCUAUAAAUAACUCACUCAUCCUCUCUUUUCCUCCCCACACAUUCAAAGGUAUAUAUAUAUAUAUAGCAAUAGCUUGUAGAACAAAAAAAAACACACUACAUAUAUAUUACUAUUGAUUGUGAUCACUCUCCCUCCAUGGUGAAGAGCGGCGACGAGCGGCGGAGACAAUACAAGGGCGUUAGGAUGAGGAGCUGGGGCUCGUGGGUCUCCGAGAUCCGGGCGCCGAACCAGAAGACCCGAAUAUGGCUCGGCUCGUAACGCCGUCGAGACGGCGAGUCAUGAGCCGGAUGAGUCGUCGGAGGUCGGUUUCGACGAGUUUUUCCUGUCGCCGAAGUGCGUCGAUUUCAUGCUCGAUCAGUGCAAUUACAACAUGUUUGAUAACUGUGCUCAAGUGGAGGAGUGGGAAGAGGAAGGGGAAAUUCGCCUCUGGAGCUUUUGCUGAUACUUAUUUAUUAUUUAUUUAUUUAUUUUUAUUAUUAUUAACUCUGGUCUAAUAUAUGUUUAAAACUUAUUUAAGUUGUAUGUUUAGUUAAUAACUAUAUAUAAGAGAGCUUCUAUGGAGCUAAUGUUUUAAGGAAGUUCCAUGGGAUUCUCCUGCAUAAGUAUAAUGCCGUAAUCUCCAUACAUGCAAGUAUAUUAGAAUGUGAGACUUUUGUUGCUACUACGAAUAAUUGUUCCCUCUUUUUUUUUUUGUAUCAUUUUGUUUGUGUUUGAAAUUGGUGCAUGGUCUAGUUUAUUUUUUUAGAAGUAAAAGCCAAAUGAUUUGAUCGAUGUAUCGAACUAUUAGCGGGACACAUUAGACUUACUGAAUUGAUCAAAUUCAAUCAUAUGUGAAAACUAAAUUAAAAAAAAAAAAAAAAUCAAUUUUGUUAAGAGAAUACUCUCAGGGAGUUCUUCUAAUUCUAUGUUCUGUGGGCGUCGAAAAAGAAAGAAAAGACCAUAAAGUGGAACUAAACUAAAUCACCAGUUAUAAUUACAUUUCCUAAUUAACUCUACAAAAUUUUUCCUUUUUUUUUAUUUGGUGGUCAUAGUUUUCUGGCAAAAAUGUAUUGUUCGUCUGAUUGGCUUAUAGAAUUAGUAGUUUUUUUUUAAAAAAAAUUCAGAUUUUAUGAAAAGAUAAUGUUUUCAUUUUCUAUGGUUUUUUAAGCUAAAGAAAGGUAUUCUCUAUAAUUUUUUUGAAAAAUAAUUUUUCACCACAAACACCCCUUAUAGUCAUCAUUGCAUACAUGCAGCAUGAUUUGACUGAGUCUUUAAAUUAUAGUUUAUUUGAGACCUUUUUCUUUUUGUUUGAGAGCCAAUACUUAGUACAUAAUGAAUCAAUGUAUAUACAUCUCUUAAUCACUAUUUCACUUCAUCGACGCAAUAAACUGCUCUAUACAAAGAAAGAGUAGAAAAUAAAACAGAGCGAAACAACAACAAAGACAUGUAGAAGCAUCAUCACAUCGUUAUUAGUAUCACCAUCAUUAUCGAAAUGAUCGUGGGCCGGCCCACUAAUCCAGUAGUCAUCAUGUUCCCGCCAAGCCCACGAAUUCAAACCCGCGUCUCUCUGGCCGUCGUUGGAGCCGCCGCCGCUGCCGCCAUCACCGGGCAGCUGAAACCGGCAAACGGGGCACGAGUUAUGGGCGGUGAGCCACGGCACGAUGCAUUCGGAGUGGAACACGUGCUCGCACGGCAUCUCCCGCGCCUCCGCCCCGACCGCAAACUCCUCCUUGCACGCCGGGCACUGCAAAGUACGGUCGUCGGUUAUGAAAACGGUCGGAAUUGAUGCGAUGGCCGAGGCCGGCGCGGGGGGCAGGCCCGGGCGGUCGUUCCGGGUGAGCUCCUCGAUGAGAGGUUCUAUGUCGGACCCGGCGAAGUAGUCUCCCGGGUGUACAGUGGGAGGGGCAGAGCGUUGCGGUGGCGGUGCCACGGUCGGGAUAUCGUGGAGAAAUCGGCCGUAGCAGAAAGGGCAGAAGAUAUGGGAGGAGAGAAUGCGGACGACGCGGCGGCAUUCGUCGCACCAGAAGAGGCGGCCGUCGUCGUCGGCGAGUGGCAUGAAGAGAGGAAGAGAUUGUGGAUUUGUGAGCAGAUGAGGAGGUUGUAGGGGAAUGAGAUAAUAAACAUAGGAAUGAAGGUGUGUUUAAUUAUGCGAAGGAUAGCUUUUACGAGAAGCAGAAACCAAAAAAAGUUGUUGCUUGCCGCCUAGAAAACGAACGAGCGAGGUGCUGCAAGGAAAAAGGAAUGAAACUGAAAUGACAUAUUGUUUUGCUGUUGUUGUACUAAAUCCACUAUUUUAUUUUUUCAAAAAAAGUUGAUAGUUAAAUUUGAAAAAAAAAAUGUUUCAUAUAAUUUAUCCUUUGGAUGGUUAGUGUUGCAUAUAAAAAUAUUUAAAAAUUAUUUUUUAUCAGUUUAAAUUUUUAGAGAAUAAUAAUUAUUUCGUAUUAUUUAUUUAAUAUGGUAUCAGAAUAGUUUUUCUUAAGUUUUUACGGAAUAAUAAUUAUUUCGUAUUAUUUAACGGUUAGCGUGCAGUCGCAGUCGACGAAGUUGAUUUUAGAAAACCUUAAACUUUUACUGGGCUUGAGUUCUAGCAACACUCAAGUUUGGUCGACCCAAAUAUGUCCUAAGUGGUUCCAGCUCAAAGUAUUUGGGCUCAGGCGCGUACAAUCACAUUUGGAUUCCUUAAUGGCGCUUCGUUAGGUCAAAUGGGGCUGGCUCAUGUAGGAUCCAAGGUUGGUUUAGAAUCCCGUAUGGCCCAGAUAUCAAAUAAAGAUGUAAUAAUAAAUGCAUUAUUCUUAUACACAUUUGCACUCUAUUUCCCCACAAAUUGACAAAUUUGAAAACAAUGGAGAUGCAAAGAGCAAAUAAUGAUUUACUAGUGUAGCAACCCGCGCAAUAUGAUGGAUAAAUAAUUAAAAAAAUUAUUAGUGAGAUAUAUUUUUACAAAUUCUUAAACAAAUAUAUAAGAGUGUUAAAAAUUUCAUUAGCACAAAAUUGUGUUAGGACUUACCGUAGUACGGAAGGAAGCAACAACAAAUAAACGUAGAACAACUGUUCCAAAUCGCCAUCACUUUUUCAAGAAAAAAAUUGCAUUAAUUAAAUAGAAAGAGGAACAACGAAUUAAUGAUUCGGCCCAAUGUAACAGGCGUGAGCCGGUUUAAUUUAAGUAAAGAAAUAGAAAAAUCUGGUUGAUUCAAGUAAAGAAAGAGAAAAGCAUGUGAAGGAUUGAGUUGGUUUGGGGUGAAGCCCACACUCAACAAUGAUUUGUUCAAAUAAAGAAAAGAUAAAAAUAUAUAGAGCAUUUGGACCAGUUCGACCCAAUGCAGUAGGUAUGCAAUUGGUUUUGUUCAAAUAAGGAAAGAGAAAAAUCCAGUUCAAUUCAAGCAAAGAAAACAAUUUAUAUAUGGAGGAUUUGAAUCGGUUCGGAAUAAAGCCCAUAUUCAACAAUAAAAAGAAUAUUGUCAUAUAGCAAAUUUAUGAGAAAUAAUAUAUAGACAUAGAUAUUUAUAACUAGAGAACAUAUCCUACAGAUUUUAAUGUCCAAUUUGAUAUUAAUAUUUGUAUUCAUAUUUAUAUUCAUAUUCAUAUGCAAUAUCAAGUUAAAGCAACUAGGAAAAGAUAUAAAAAUGCUAGUUGGUGAAUUGAUUGAGUUCUGACCCAAACGAUGCGCCCGCAGUUGAACCACCCGAUUUUCAAUGAACUAAAGAGCUUUGAAUCAAUUCGAUGUACUCGGACUUGGUCAAUUUAGAAAUCAUAGGAACAUUCAAACCUUAUAUAAUAGAUUUGGUCCAUUUGUGAGCCUACUUACAAUCAGCUUUAAAUGCUUAUCAUUCGUCAAAAUUUGACUUUUAUACGAUCAUCGAACCUUAUUGUUAGAAUAUAAUUAAUUUAUUCAUUGAAGGAAAGAAAUUUCGAUCUCCAAGGUCUCAUCAGUUGAUAGAUUAGUAUCAUAUAUUGAUAUUUUUACACAUCGUUUGGGUGAAUCAAACUCUGUGUCUUUCGUGUGAAGCAGUGUAAACCCAAUUUUUUGAAUCAAAACGACCCUGCUUGCACCUAACAAUUAUGAAUCCUACCAAGCCUACACCAACUUUGAAUUUGAACUUCAUCAAGAUGCUUUCAAUGCUACGCUUAAAGAGGUGUCCAAGUUUCUAGAUAACUCGCCGAAUCCUAAUAUUAUUUAAAGAAUCAAAUGUAAUCUUAUUUUCGCACUAAAGUGUCUUUUAUCGUAUUUGGAUACCCUUUAUUUUUCAAAGAUGAUACAACUCCAUGCACAAACUCAUUUCUAUGCGAGACAUGAUUCUAACACGAUAUCUAUAUUCACAGAGAGCGUAUCAUUCAACUGUACUAACCAGUAUUCUAUUUACACACAAAUAACAACCAAAUAUUAUGGAACUCAUGGUAAAAGGUUUAUCCAAAAAGAGCAUCUGAGCUAAUAAGUAAUAACCGAAGGGGCAUCUUUCUCUCUCAUGAAUCAUCCCUGCUGUAAAUUGUGAAACCUUGCUCACUUAGCUUCGCUUUGCUUCUCAUAAUGGGUUUUCACCUUUGUUUGCACUUGAAUUAUUUUCGUACUAUUCAAUUAAUAAAUCCACCUGUCUCUAUCUCUCUGUGAUGUGAAAUUAUAGCAUGCACCUGAUGCAUAAGCACAUUUCAAAUAUUUUAAACCCACUCUUAAAAUCAAUGGAUUUUUAUUGCUUUCCAUUAAUUUUCUUAUUUAUCGCCCAAUACUCUUUGAAUAUAGUUAAUUUUUCAGACUAUUUUUAUUGUGUAACCUAGCACACAAUUUAAAUUUUUUUUUUGCAUAUAAGACGAUUUUCCAUAACCCAAAUGCAUCUUAUCUUAAAUAAACGAUUUCAUUAUCUUAUGAUCCUAAGUACAGUACUACAGAGAACUCAAAGUUGGUAUAAGUAUAACAUAGGUGCACACGAGUAGUCUACAUUUAAUGGCCCAGAUGAACCUAUUUUGUGAUAGGCGGAGAUCAUUUUGCGCAUAGAAUUUUUCCUACACCUGAAAAAUUGCAGAGAAACUCACAAAGAAAAUUGUAUUUAUUAAAUUUUAAUUUUAUAAUAAUGAUGCAAAUUUAUUUACCAUCAUAUACAAAAAAAAAAGAAAAAGAAAAAAAAGGUACACCAAGUGCAAGCAAUAUUUUCUCCUCUCUUUCCCUUGCUGUGCCAUGUGCCUCACCUGCCCACCAUAACCUGUCCGGUUGCGAGUACAGAUGCAACCCAACCACUUCUCGUGGUCCAAAAGUAGGCGCGACUCCGACUCGUACGCCCACGAUCACUCCUUCCAGAUGAUUUUUGUUUCCCGGGCACGAAUUUUAAAGGCCGAAACGGGUCUGCGGGUUUCGAACCCAAACCCGAACCCGAAUCCAAAUCCGAACCCGUGUUCGGUUCGGGCCCUAUCGAUUCGGAUCAAGCGCGCGCGCGCGCCCGCGCCGCCCAGCCUAACGGUCAAACACGUCGAUCUGAUGUGUGUCGUUUGAUCAGAUAAGAUAAGAACGAGGUGGGUGUAGACAAAUCAAGCGAAUUUUAGUACAACAAUUAUUCUUUUGACAAUGGGUCACCCCGGUCCAAUUUUCCUUUUUUAAUUAUUUUUUUUUUCUUGCGUCCGAGGUGACUUAUUUGAUCGUAUUUUUAUAUUUACUUUUUUUUUUUUUAUAAAUGUUGCAUCCUAAUUUUUUUUUUUACUUUUAGUGCAGUCCGAUCUAUUUCGUAGUUGAUUUAUAUUUUCACCUAAAUUUAUUUCUAAAAAAAUUAAACAAAGCGGAUAUCAUGCUACAUUUCUCUUGCUCUGUCCAAGAAAAGAAAAAACAAGUUAUUACAUAUAGCUCCUUGUAAAUAUAUUUAAUAACAGAUAUAUUCCUAUAAAAUUUAAUUUUUUAUAUUUUUAUUCAUACAAAAAUCUUAAUAUUUUCAAAUAUAUCCCUAAUGUUAGGAUCCGUUAGAAAAUGAGGUAAAUUAACAUUUUUACUCUCUUAUAUUAUUUGUGAUGGUAGAAAGGAAGAAGAUAAUCGUUUGCAAUUUAAAAAAAAAUAUUUCUGCAUAAUUCUGAGAUUUUUAGAGAAAUAUAUUUAUAAUAACAAAAAUAUUAUAAAAAAUAAAAAAUACUCUAUUGAUAACAAAUCAGAUAAACAAAUAUAAACAUCACUGAAUUUUUACAAAAAUAUAUAUAAAAAAUCGAAGUUUGGAGUAAUAUAUUUACCAUUCGAUGUAUUUAUAUUGAGCUUUAUAAAAUUAACCGCAGAAAAAAAAAAAAAAAAAAAAAAAAAAAAAAAACGGCAUGGCUAAUGGGGAUUACUACGGUGUCACUUCAGAGAUUCCCCGUCAGGUGCCGAAAGGUGUGGUGGAUUGAUUCAAGAUCCGAACUUGUAGCCCCACAUCGCUCGCUCAUGUUGCGUUUACCCACUCCACUUCCGAAAUCAACGGUCCAUAAUCCAUCUAGCCCAUAACCCAUCCAUCCGACGGCCGACGUAGUGUGGGCCCCAGCAAGCACCCGACGAGGACUCGGGAACCGAAUCCCCUCUCUCCCGCUCCCCGGAUCCGAAUCUAAAAUAUACACACAGUGUAUAAUUUUAUUUAUGCCCUUCCAUUCACAUCCAGUUACGGAAAUGUCCUUUAGCAAAAGUAUUCUUUCAAAUUUUGAAAACUUAUUCGUCCAAUAUAUAAUUCUAAUUGACUAUCAUCAAUACUCUUUCAGUUAAUAAAAUAAUAAACUAGACUUUUAUCAUUUGAAAUAAUUUAAAAAGUAAAAUAAAUGAAGGCAUAAAUUGAACUGAAAAAAUAUUCAAAUUAUAAAUUAAAUAAAAAUGCUAUCUUUAAAUAAUAUAAAUUGAACAAAAUACUACAUGGUAUAUGAUACUUAACUAUAAUAUGGAGCAAAUAAGUUAUUUCGUAUUCUUACUCUAAUAAAAUUCUAACAUAGGCCACCUAGAAGGACAUUUAUUAUAUUAUUUAUUUAUGGAUUUAUAAGAGUAAUAUUUGAUGUUCACAAUUUUAAAAGGCGCCUAUUAUAUUUUUCAAGUUUUAAGAAUAGCCGUCAAACUAGAAGAAAAAGGAAAAAAAUACUGUAGGCUAUUAUAAAAUAUCCCCCAAAAUUUUCUUUUACUAUUUUUUAAAAAAAGUUUAGUAUUUACUUUUAAAGUUAUUUUGAUUAGUGAAAUUACAAAUUUUAUAAAUUUGAAAUUCUGUUUCAUGUUAAGACAUUAGUACUCUAAUUUUAUGCAGUAGAGUUAUUUAAAAUUAUUAAUGUUGUAAAGUUACUAAUAAAUGUCAGUGAAUAUCUAAUUUAUUGGAUUAAAAUUUAUUUAGUUAUUAAAAAUAUUUAAAUAAUAUUAAUUUAACAAAAUGAGGUUGCGGGACCAUUCAAAAGUGUCUAUACUUGAGGGGGUUCUUCACAUAAUUUUAAACGGGUCACCCCAGGUAAUUAUAAGACCCAUUCGUCGCAUCUCCUCACCCUCUCUCUCUCUCGCUCUCUCUCUCUCUCUCUCUCUCUCUCUCUCGCGUACUUCGAUUUCGAUCUCAAAAACUCUCCCCUUUCACCCAGUCUCAUCUCGUCUCCUCCUCUUCCCUUUCUCUUCGCCAUGAAUCCCCUCUCCCGAGAUCGAACGCGGAUCCAGUGAGAACCGAAACCCUAGGAGCGGAAUCGAGGAGGCGACAAUGGAGGCGCCGAAGAGCCAUGGCGCCAAGCUCUCGCGCACCCCCUCGUCCCUCCUCCGCUCCCCAACCCUCCGCUCCUCCUCCUUCCACAGCCUCUCCGCCAUUGACGACGACGAGGAGGUCGAGAAGAAGAAGCCCCACCGCCCCCACCCCAUCCCCAACCCCAACCCCAACCCCAACCCCAACCCCAACCCCAACCCCAACCCCAACCCCAACCCCAACCCCAACCCCAACCCCAACCCCAACCCCAACCCCAACCCCAACCCCAACCCCAACCCCAACCCCAACCCCAACCCCAACCCCAACCCCAACCCCAACCCCAACCCCAACCCCAACCCCAACCCCAACCCCAACCCCAACCCCCACCCCCGAACCCUCCUCCCCCUCCUCCUCCCCCUCCCCUUCCUCCUCCUCAUCUUCUUCCUCAUCUUCUACCUCCGCGACGACUCCCCGAUCCUCGGCAACCUCGUCCUCGCCUCGGCGCUCGUCGUCCUCGCCUCCGUCGCCGCGCGCAAGUCCCGAUCCCUCUGGCUCCGCCGCCGCGGCGGCGCGUUCCGGCGCGGCGAGUCGGUCCAGUGGUUCAUCGGGGACGCCGACCGGGCUCUGCGGAAGGAGAAGAGCAACGGGAGGGUGGUGCGCGAGGGGGUGGAGUUCUACAGCAAUGGCGAUUGCUACGAGGGGGAGUUCCACCGCGGCAGGUGCAACGGGAGUGGGGUUUACAACUUCUUCGCCAAGGGGAAGUACGAGGGGGAUUGGAUCGAUGGGAAAUACGAUGGGUAUGGGAUCGAGAGCUGGGCGAGGGGGAGCCGAUACAGGGGACAGUAUCGGCAAGGGUUGCGGCACGGAUUCGGCGUGUACAGGUUCUACAGUGGGGAUAGCUAUGCGGGUGAGUGGGUGAGUGGGCAAAGCCAUGGAAUUGGGGUUCAGAGUUGCUCCGAUGGGAGCUCCUAUUUCGGGGAGUUCAAGUGCGGGGUCAAGCAUGGCCUCGGCUACUACCACUUCAGGUAAUCCCACCAUUCUUAAUUACUUCUCGGAUUACUCAGUGGAAUUAGAUCCCUUUAGAAUUUUGGGUUGCCAAUUGAUUGGGUACCUAAAAAAUCAAUGGAACAGUGGAAUAUGUGCUCGAUCCUCUUUAAUUGCUUUCAAAUUUUGUAGUAUUAAUUGCUGAUACCUAGUUGGGUUAACAAAUUUAGUUGCAAAGGUUGGGUCGCCGUUGUUUGGUGAUAUUAUUGUAGGGGCAGUUGCUAGGAUCGGUGGAUGAUUUCUAGUAUUUCUAAAGAAAAAUCAAGGUAUCAAAUUCGGACUAGGCGCAAUGAAGUGUUCGAUAUAAUUUGGUGAUUCGAGCUAACAUGGAAUGGAUGAGAGAUGCAAUUGGUGUUUUUUUGCUUGUUAGGUCAUAACUUUUCUUGGACCAUCAGUUUGUCUUAAGAUUUUCAUUAUCUUCUGUCAAAAGUCAUGUGGCCUUUCCUUGUUUGGAGGUCAUAGCAAGUAAUGGUCAUAUCUGAAUGCUUGUCCCUCUGUUUGUGUCUUAUAUUUUAUUGGCUUCAUCUCAGUAGCUUUAGCUCGAAGCUAUGUUGUUUUGAUUAAGCAACGGUAUUGACCCUUUCCUUUUUCUGCUAACAUCUUUCGACUCAGAUGAACAAGUGUGGACAAAUUUUUUGAAAUACCACUUUUAGUGUGCUAACACUGCAUUACUAUUUCUUUUUUCUCUGAUUUGCUUCUAUUAAACAUGCCCCCCUUUUCUGAAGGGAUGGAUUGCUAAAAGUGAAGAAGUUCUAAAUAUUGUAGGAAUGGUGAUCGAUACUGUGGAGAAUACUUUGGAGACAAGAUUCAUGGUUUUGGUGUCUACAACUUUGCUAAUGGUCACUGUUACGAAGGUUCGUGGCACGAAGGCAAGAAACAAGGCUUCGGAAUGUACACAUUCCGCAACGGCGACACAAGAUCAGGAGAGUGGGACUCUGGCAUUUUACAGAACCCUCUCCCCCCGUUGGACCCUGCUGUUCAACGAUCCGUGCAGGUACCUUUGCAUUCGAGCUAAUGAACUUAGAGAAGCCCCAGCUGCCAGUGCUUCCAAUUUCGUGCACAUCGGAUUUGCUUUGAGAUCCAUGCAUGUCUGCGUAAGAUCCGUGCCCGUCUAAUGGCAUUAAGAUUCGCGAUUGGAUCCCAAAGUUGAUGUGCCUUUAAUUUCAAUAGAACUACUUUCUUCUAAUUUUGUUUCUGAAACCCCAAAAAUUUUUGGUUGAACUAGGCUGCUCGAAAGGCUGCGGAGAACGCAAUUCGCCUUCUGCGAGUUGAUGAGCAGGUGAACAAGGCAGUCACGGCUGCAAACAGAGCCGCCACUGCUGCUCGAGUUGCUGCCAUAAAGGCCGUGCAGAACCGUAUAGAUGGCAAGUUUUGCGACACCAAUGUCUAAGGCGGCUAAGCUUCGGGUUUUUUUUUUUUUUUUUAAUCUUUUCUCACCUUCACUUUCCAANUCCUUCUUCUUCUUCUUCUUCUUCUUAAGAUGUAUAUUAUGCUAUUUAAUAAUUACUAAUCCCUGAGUUUGCGACCGGGUAGGCAAAUACUUAUCCGAGUCAGAGAGAGAGAGAGAGAGAGAGAGAGAGAGAGAGAAGCUAACAAUUUUAGAUACAUCAUCCCUUGUUUCUCGCAAGCUGUAUCUUGUACGUAAGUCUUCGUUUCAAUUGAAAAAGUAUUUCCAGAGCUACUUAUACAGAGUCUGCUUCUCUGUCUCCAAUACUUCUAGAUGCUCCAGUUUUAAUCUAAUGGUGGAAUGGAUGAUAUCCCAUGUGCUGUGAUUCUUAGUUGUAAUUUAUGCUUGGUUGUCCACAUGGGGGGCUGUAACUUUUUCUCAAGCACUUGCUGGCCCCUCACCUAUUUUUAGUACCUGUUAUGUUGAUUCACUCAAUUCUUCUUCUUGGUCUUGGCUACUGCAUCUGACCCCUACUAUGUUCUUACCAAUGCUUUAACAGCUUAUGGUCCACAUUGUUUGUUUUGAAUUCACAGCAUUCACAGCAUUCAAAGCAUGAGAGUGGAAUGAGAAUAUAACAACUGCUCCCCUUUUCCCUCCCUUCCCCAGUAAAAUCUCUUCUCGGACUCAACCACUCCCACCUGCACUCUUUGCUAAUUCUAGGCUGUGUCUGAUAACGAAGUGCGAAGCUUCCUUUUAAAAUAAUACGGCAAAUUGUUCUGUGAAGUUUCCUUCUCUUUCUUUGGCCUCAUUGGAGCUUUCACGGUAGUGCUUUUUAGUUGAGCCAUUUGUGGAAGCACUCGAAGAAAAUCAGGAGCUCGUUGUAUGCUUUUCGGAAGAGAGCACUACUCUGGGAUCUAGACGCUUGAAAUUAUGAUAGUGAGAAGCUCAUUUCUACAUGCCGCGUGCAAAAUGUUCUAACUUUUAUUUUUGUCAGCUAUUUGUACGUACACUGCUUCUCGAAAUAGAGAAGUGCUACAGCUGCAAGGCACUUGGAAGGAUGUUAGUGACUCUGUAGAUCCCGAUGCCAGUACAGUGGACCUACCAAUCUUCAACCAUGACUUUGUUUUGUUGCAAUCAUCUUGUCAGGUUCAUUAAUGCUGGACUCUGCAGGGGAUAUCUUAUAUUUCUUCCUCUUAUCUUCUUGUCCUAACCCUGGCCUUAAUUAUAAAAAAAAGCUUUUCUGAUCCUUGCAACAAGGGAUGCUCUUGUCUGAGGAAAUGCCUUUCCCAGCUGUGUGUGGACAAAAUUAUGCAUCUAGUUUAUUACAAUGUUUGACUGCUCCUUUCUGGUAGGUAGUGUCUUUAAAUUCAUUCGCCGGGCGGUAAUUUUUGAAUCUUAAUCUCCGUCGUCUGAUCGUUAGGUGAAAUCGGGUUAUUCUAAUGUAACUCGGAAUUACCGUUAUCAUUCCCUUUGAAUAGUGUGUUGUCUUUUAUUUAAUCUCCACUUAAUCAUGUAAUCACUUUAUUAUUUACCCAUUAUGUUUAUGAUCAAACAAAACAUGCAACUCAAUUGGUUCCUGGUGUUCUUAGGAUAGAGCAAUCAUAGAGGGAUAAAAUAAGCUUUUCCUGCUAAACUAAUCUCAAACUGUAGUGUUAUAUAUAAAACGAAUAAUAGAAUAGAGUGAGAACAUCAUAAAAAGGGGCCAUAGAACAUGAAAUUUACUAUUCUUUUUUUCUCCUUUUUUGACUAAUGAGGAUUACGAUUCAGCAUAAGCAUUUUUCAAAGGAAUAGGGUGGUCCCGAUGGUGUCCGUUCGUUUAAUUCAUCGAUUUUGUGUAUGAAUGUUUUUGCUUGUGACAUAAUUGUUUUGUUUGGAUUAGGAGUGUCAUUAUGGAGUGGACGACUCUUUGUAUAUACAUAUCACAAAGUCAUACAUGGCAUAUUUAUCUAUAUCUGGGGAGUCGCUAUUGGAAUAGUUUAAAGUAGCUAUCAUAUUGUCACACUACUUUGCAAGAUCUCAAUCCAUGUGCAUCAGCUAAAAAUAUAUAUAUAUAAUGCAUCUUUUAAAUGCCCAAGUAGAAAGAGUCUCCCCAGGAAGAUAAUGGGGGUGAGGAAAAAAAAAAAAACCUGUAUUUUUUGUCUUCUCCCUUAUGAUGGUUUCUCUUGGCUUAGUGCUUUCAUGCUUUCUUUUUUUUUUUUUGUUUUUUCCUUGAUUUAGGGAUUAAAGAUGAAAUCAUGGCAAGGUGUUUUAUUAUCUAUAUAUUGUUGAUCAUUUAACCUUGUGAUAAAUUUUGCUCAGAUUAAUAUGAUGCCGAUUUAUGUUAAAAAUUGAUUCAAUUCAAAAAAAAAAAAAAUCUAAGAACUUUGUCAUUUUACCGAACAUAGGUUUUGGUGCUUGUUUAGCCUAGUUUUGCGCCAGUUUUUAGCUAUAGUCAUUUCUAUUAGAACGCUGUAACUUACAUUCAAAGUUUUUAAAUUUGUGCCGCAGUAAGAAGCUAAAAUGUUAUAUCGGAUAAAAAAUUGCUCGUUAAAAACGCUGCUCAAACAACAUUUUAUCGUACGACGAGCCCAGGCCAGUGUAGAAUAAACCGAACUUGAGACGAAGAUCAAAGCACAACACAUUGUUGGAAAAUUGUAGUAAUUUGACGUGGGGAUUUAGUGGUGAUUGAUUCACUAAUGAAGAAACAUGAACAUGAUAAAGUCAAUAGUAGUUUGCAUGAGUAGUCUCCGUCGAUCUUUAGUAGGUUACUGCAAAAAGUGACUUUUAAUGCGCUGCGUGUUAGCUGGCUGUGAUGAUGGUGUAUAAGAAUUCACAAUCACAUGAACUUUGUAUCGAAUAUACCGUUACCUGAAAGCUUAAACUUGUUUUAAAAAAUAAUAGUUAGUUUACAAAGCAUCAAGGCCGGAGGUUCUAAAAUUUGAAUUGAAUUCUAUCAGACUCCUCGUCUCAUUUAUUUUUUUUCUAUUUGAUUUAAAUUCACGUUUUGAGUUUAUUAAAAAGUCUUGAACUAUCUAGCGCAGUCGGCAAAUGACCUAAUAGUUGGUCAGUGUUGACACGAUUUGGUCUCAAACCGAAAACUAAAUCGAACCAAAUCAAAUAAGAUUAUUUGGCUCGGUUUAUAUGGUUUUUUGGGUAAGUUUGAUUUUCAAAUUUACUAAAGUUUGGUUUUUAGUUUCGGUUCGGUUUGAACACGCUUCUUAACCGAACCGAACCGAACCGAAAACUAAAUAGUAAUAUUUUUUUACACAUUUUAUGUAAACUAUUUAUUAAAGUUUUAUAUUUAUGGUCAAAUCUUGAUCAUAAAUCAACACAUUUUGAAAAGUUCUAUGUUUAUAAUUAAAUAUUUUGUGUGUAAUUUUAUAAUGAUUCAAAUUUGAAUCUUAAAUUAUAAAUUAACUCAUAACAAAAAUAAAAAAUCUGAAAAUUAAGUGCAAAAUCGAACCAAACUGAUUACACUCCUAUGGUAUCCGAUGUCGCAAAUUCGAAGUUUAAUUGCUUCAUAUUUUCAGCUGAGUAUAUUUUUUUUAAAAAAAACCCAAAGUAGAUAGUUUGUUAUUUUUUUCUCAAAAACUAAAAAUCUUAAACCCAAACAAAAAACAUUAAUUUGUGCAAUAGCAGUUUCGAAAAUCCUUAAAAAAAAAAAAAGCCAAAAAAGAAACAACGAAAGAAUAUGAUGAGAUUCAGAAACAUUUGCAUAUGAGGAAAUUGAACUAGAAAAAAUUAUUUAGCACGGUUUGAAAAAAUAGUGUUAAGCUAAAAGAGAACGAAACCGAAAUUAACUUAACUAAAGUAAUUACUUAGACAUACCCAAAAAAGAAACUGCUUAGUAUAUCAUUAUGAAUAAAAAUUUUAAUCAACCUCACUAUAAUAGAAAAUAACAUCUAACUAGAAACACAGUUUAAUUUAUAUUCAUAGGAUCCCUGUUCUUAUAGGUUCUUCAUUAUUAUUAUAAUAAUCGGACUUGGAUUUGGAAUUUUAAUGGGUUCCAGCUUAAUUGGACGUUUGGACCCAUACCCAACCUAGAAAGGUACUCUUAAUUUGUGUUAUUUUAUUUGUUUACUUAUUUAUUCAUUUAUUUAUUUUGUGAAACAGCUAAUAUAUUAUCUAUGACUCAGCAAAAUUGACCACUUUAAUCAAAUCCAUAUUGCAGUGCUUAUCUAAUUAUCCGUCACGGCACCGAAGUUCGGAUUACUACGACAUUUGACAAAUUUUGUUAAAACAUAUUAGUUUUAUUCAACUGUUUAAAGAUGACCAAGCGUGACAAAUAAAUAAGAUUCUAUGUAUCGAAAAUUAUGGCUCUUUUUUUUUUGGAGUCUAUGUAAUUUUCUGCUAUUGGAUUGAUUUUUCUUGUUUUCUUAAAAACAAUCUUGACUUUUACAAAGGAUGUUUGAUGUCUUUUUCGGGAUAUUGAAAAACCAAAAAAAAAAAAAGGAAAGAAAAUAUUGUAAUUAUAUACAAUGAAAUUGAAAAGAGCUCAAACUUUUGAAUGUAGUACAGUAGAACAACCUAGAGAGAGAAAGAAGUACACUUGUGAAUUAGCGAAAUUUAGCUGCAGUUAUUCCAUAAUAAUGGAAUUUCUUUGAAGGGGAAAUGUUACCUCGACCUUAUCUCAAUCUAUGAACUUGAUUCAUUAUUUCCUGGAUUUCGAUCUACCACAUCAUUUGCAAACCAGAUAGCUUACGAACUUCAAAACACGAUAGCUAAUCCCUAUCAGAUCUCAGUGUUUCUAUAUUAUUUUCUAUAAUACUAAGGUUGUGUUUGGCCGAAUAAAACGUCCUGCUUUUUAAAAAAAUGUAGAAUUUUACAGUCGUGUAUAGAACUGCAUGUGCGAUUGCAAAAUUCAAACGGGCUGUAGUUCUUGCAUUUUGCAGAGCUGCGUAUAACACUUGGUCAAACACUUAUUCAGGACCCGUUGGGUAUUGAGGUUUAUCUAACGAUAAUAGAUAAAACAAAGUUAAGAUGAUAUGUUUCUCCAUUUAUCGUUGGAUCGCAAAAAAUAUAUCGCAAUUGACUCAUUAUACUAAACGAAAUACAGAUAAUUUCGUUGUACUCUCUUUAGCGAAGCACAGCUAAAGAAAGGGACAAUCUUUUGUAACGACCCGGUAUUAGGCUACAUACUUGGGCUGGUCUAUGGACCAAGCUCAAGAAACUAAUCUGAUUCUUUUGCAAAGGCCCAUAGGCUGUUGAGGGAUCGAUUUUUAGCCCAGAAACCUAACAGAGUAAUCUUGGGACAAGGAAGAUGACAUUUGCAUUCCUUCAAUGUCUAAAGCUAAAAGUGUUUUCAUUUUCUUUUUUUGAUUUAAUUUUUUUUUGUUCUUAAAAAGAAAACCCAGAGUUGAAGUACUUAUUAGUCUUUUAUUCUCCCCACUAAUCUAAAUCUACUUUUCUCUCGUCCAAAAAUUAAACCUAAAUACAUGGUCGAUAAAGGAUACCAACAUAACAACCAUGUUGGAAAUUAAAAAAAAGAAAAGAAAAGUGUAAUAACAUCAUCAAAAAAAAUAAGAAAAAAAAAAAGAAGAAUACCGAAGAGUGACGAUGUUUAUACCAGCUGAAUGAUGCUUCGUGCACGUUCAUAAUUAAAGACAAAUUAAUCUCUUACACAAAACAUAUAUAUGGGACGAUAUGGCACAAAUGCCGCAACACGAGUAACAGCUUACAAAUUACAAACAGCAACAUACUUUUACAACCAUUAAACAGAGGAAAUUAAAGUGCCCGUACACGCUUUAGAUAUCAUCCAUUCUAGUAAGCAGAUCUAAGGGUCGUGUUACCAUCCAUCCAUAUAUAUAUUCAAUAUGUUUCGACACGAACAAUGUCCUCCUCCAAAAUCUGUAACUUUCGAGGUUGAUAUAAGCUGACAAUUCUAUCAUUAAUCUUCUGGAUGGGUCUUGCGUUCAUCUCGAAGCCCUGCACAUUAGCAGUAGCAGAAAUAAGCGUAAGAAUACGUUACAAUCCUACAACUUUUGGGAGCUAAGCAUGCACAUGUACUGAAAAAACAAAAAAUCUUGUUAAACUUAUGUGUUAUAAGCUUGCGUUCGUCUGUGCGUGCAUGUGGACGCAUGCGUGCGUCUCCGUAAACAAAAGGUUUUCGAAAGGAGGAUCGAUUCGCUUGUGCUAAUUACUUACGUCGUUGACAGCUUCUCUCAGCAGAUGCACCUGCUCCUCCGACACCGUACGCACCUGCCAACAUUUCAAAAACAAGCUCAUUUCAUUCUAUCUUGGUUCACCAAACUGCACCUACUUAAAUGACGCAGCAACCACUAACUGGAAAUGGAAUAGAGAAUUAGAAGACGCGGCGGAAACGUUUUCGACCCAACCAACCUUCUUGAUGAUGGUCCACACCACUCCCUCGGUGCAAGGUGGGGUUGUGAGCGAGCCCAUGUAUCUGUAAUAGCUCCUGCCUCCCCUCUUUAGGCUACUCGGAUCCACAACUCCAACCUUUUCCUCUGCUUCAUGUGUGUUAGCGAUCUUCUUUAUGUACGGCUCCAACUGUUAAUGCCCAGAUGUAAACAUUUAGAAAAGGAUUUCUAUUAUGCUAAGUUCGGCAAAUUUUAUAAUCAGUGCAGAAAAAUAUUUAAACGGGUGUAACUUUCCGCUCAUAUAUCCGUUUUCAGUGUGCAACUCUAAUUCGAAAAACAGUUUUCAAGAUCAACGCACCCAACUACGAAGCCAUUCCGACCGAGUUUGGGAUCUGAGUUCAACUGUUUAAGCCUUCGAAUUUGCACUUUUAGAUUAUUCUUAAAAAGUUUUAUAUAUUUUUCUAUGUUGAAUUCGGCUAUUUGGUUAUUUCCGUUUGGUUUAGAUUUAGAAAUAUAUUAGCUUUUGUUAUCCUCAGGAUUCAGGUGUCGUGAUGUUUGGUUAAUGUAAUUGGUUUUAGAGUCGAUAAAUAAUAGUUUCUUCUUUGGCGAAGAACUGUGUUGUUCGUAUAUCUCUCUUUGCGUUCGCGUUUUUGUGCUUCUUUUCUCUCAAUGUGAUUUUUGUUAAAUAUAAAAAUAUAUAAAUACCGUUGUUUAAUGAGUUAAGUUUUUAGACUACAACAGUGGUUUCACAUAGUAUCAGAAAAGAAGAUUCUAAGUUUGAAUUCCUAAUAUUAGUAUUUUUUUAUUUAAUUUAAGUUCACACUACGUGCCUUACAAGAAGUCUUGAACAAAUUUAUACCCCACUAAUUUUUAGUUAUCUUAAUCUGGGCAAUAAACAUACCCCUGCUAUGAACGGAUCGGACCGACCGGUCUUGUACAAAAUCCCGACCACGGCGAUCUUCUGAUCAGCGCUCUGAUGAACCAUAUGCAUCUCCAGAGAGUAUCUGCCCAAAUCACACGAUCAAGAGAUCAUCUACUCAAUAAUAAUAAUAAUAAUAAUAAUAUAUAUAUAUAUAUAUAUUGAGUAAUAAACAAGCACUUGUUAAAUUAGUGGAUCAAUAUGCGAUCAUGAGCAACUAAUUAAUUAAUUACCUCUGGCCAUUGAUGGCGUGCUCGGAGGGAGAGUGCCAAUGCAACUGUUUGAGAUCAUACUUAGUCCCACCGAUCCAUAGCGCCCCCGCGUCAGCCUCCCAUUGGAGCUACAUCCACGUACCAUCAAACAAUUAAGCUUAUACACAAGGGAAUGUCCCCAAAAACAAAACCCAAACUAAUAAAAGAGAGGGAUAUUAAUAAUAGGGAAUAUUGAUUAUAUAUUUCUGAAAAGUUUGGGGCUUUCUGAUUUGUCUCUCUUAGAAGGUUAAUAUUAAACAUUUUUUUUUUGAUAUUCAAAGUUAUUUCAAAUAUAUCUCUAGAGUUAAAACAACCGUUGUUAUGUUUGUAAAAUUAUUAUUUUGCUCUUUCAAAUAUACUUUUUUACUAUCACCAAUUUUUUCUUAUUUGCCUUUAAGUUAGGGAUAAAAAAGAUAUUUUAAUUUUUUUUGUCCCUUUUACUAUCACCGACUUUUCUUAUUUACGCAAAGAAAAUUUUUUUUUUUUAUUCUAGUAGACAUUUAACUCACGUUUAACCUGAAAUAACUUAACGGGUGGUACCUACAAGAAUAUUUUCGAAUAAAGAAAGAACAUAUGAAGGAUAUAUUUGAAAAAAUAAUAAGUUAGAUAUCUUAAAAAUUUUGAGGAAUAUAUAGAUCAUUAUCCCUAGCUAGGGUACACUUCAGAUACCACUUCUGUAAUUUCACACUUUCUCACUUUAGUAUCAUAUGGUUUAAAGUGUAUCAAGUUAGUGUCCUAUGGUUUCAUUUUUAUUUUUUUAUCAUCGAUUCUACUAAUCUUUUUUAUUAAAUCAGUGACAAAGUUAAAACUAAAAAAUAUUGAAGUAAAUAUUUGAUAAACCUAGAUAAAGUUUCCCUAUCUCUAAUUAAUACCAUAAUGUCGUGGCCGCGAUUCUUUAAGGUGGCAUUAGAAGGCGUAUAAUAACGCUGCAGCGUCCCCAGCGAAGGGUCUAUUUGAACCCUGCCGCAGAGGAUAUCGAUAGGGGAUUGCGCGCGACCCCUCCCACACGCGGCCCAUGCCUCGUGGAUCUGUCCCCAGUGCUGAGGCCCCUUUGGGCUCUCUUCGUCGUAGCUAAACUCCUUCUCAUUAUCUACGCACCAAAAAGAAAAAAAAAACAAAAAAAUAAUUUAGUGCUCGAUAAAAAAAUGGAAAAAAAGAGAAAAAAAAAAAAAUAGAAGCCCAAGAAGGAGGGAAACAACAACAUACCAACUUCUUGGGAGGUGGAAAAAGGGACGGAGAGGAGGAGGGAGACGAGGGAGAUGGUGGUAAUGAGAUUGCUGAGGAGGGGCAUGUUGUUGUUGUUGUUGUUGCUGCUGCUGCUGCUGCUGGAAUUGCAGUGAAUGCGGUAGGGUGUGCGUUGUUGCUAUUUAUAAUAUUCAGAGUUUUAAAACCACGUGCUUGUACCAGGUUGGAGAUGGACUGAUGGAGAGAGAGAGAAAGAGAGAGAGUCGUCCUAAAAUAAUCUACCUAAAAGGGGCAAACUUUAAAUAUUAUUCACGGGAUUUUAUAUUUUCUUAUUUUAGUACGUAAAAAGAGAGUAGUCUUUUUUUUUUUUCUUUCAUCAGCUUCUGUGUUAACAUUUUAUUAAAUUAUACAUAAAAAAUUUCAUAUAAUUCAUCUAAAUUUAUUGAAUAUUUAUUUUAAUACCUUUUAAUUUUAAUUUUGUCAAUAAUUUAACAAAAAAAAUUAGUGAAGAAAAUAAUAAAAAGAGAAAAAAAAAUUGCAGGGUACUAAAUUGGUACACUUUAAACCAUAGGGUAUUAUAAUAAAAAAGUACAAAAUCAUAUAGAUGGUAUUUAAAGUUUUUUCUAAAAAAAUGAUUAUCAUAGUCUUUUGACCAAAAAAUUUGCUUUAUAAUACUUACAUCAUAUAAUUUAUACUCAAAUAAUUAUUUUUUAAGAAAAUAUAAAAAAUAUUAUUUUAAAAAUAAAAUAAAAUGGAUGAAUUCAAAAAAAUUUUUUGAUUAAUUGGAAGUACCACGUCACAUCAGGAAUAUAAUUACGGAAUUAUAACCAGGUUACGUGUCACAGAUUUGUCUUUUAUAAAAUCAACUGACAUGUGGGGCCCGCUUUUAAAGAUGCGUGAGGAUCGUGUUUAAAAAAGAAAACGUUUUCACACAAAAGGACAAAUUGAUGGUGUCGGUGUUUUGACAUUUUCGUUACGUUCGGAUUCAAGUAAAAACUGUACAUUUCAAAAUUAGAUACAAAUUCAAACAUAAGUAAAAAUAAAUUUUAUUUUUUAUUUGGAUAAAAAUUAAAUUAUUUUUAGAAAUAAAAAAAAAAUAGCGAUUGGAUAGUUAGAUUGAAAUAGUGAGAAUAAGAAUGAUUACAAUUUAAAAUAAUAAUAUCUUAUCUAAUUAGUUAACAUAAACAUAUUUAUUAAACAAUAUUUAUCUAAUUAUUUGAAAUAAAAAUCUAUCAAGUUAAUUAAUAUUAAAAUAUUAAUUAAUAAUAAUUUAAUAAAUUAAUAAAUAUUUUAGGCUAUGAAUACUGGAUAAGAUAAUAGAGAAAUACAUUAAUUAAUUAAUUAAUUAAAUGUAAAAAAGUUAACUUUUUAAGUAGUUAGUAUAAUAUUUUAGUUAGAUAAUUAGCUAAGACAUUAAUUAGAUUAGUCAAAAUAUUAAUGGUUGCUCAAUAUAAAUAUUGAUUAUUGGAUAAAAAUACUAAAUUAUUAAUUUUAAUUAGCUAAUUAAUUAUAAAUUGAUUAAUUACUUUACAAUUUAUUAUUUAAGCAAUAAAUAAUGACUUAAAUAUAAUAAAAUUAGAUUUAGAAUUUAAUUAAGCUUGUUCCCACUUGGAAACAAGCUUUUUCCAGGUGGGAGGGGAGAACUGUUCUAAGAUUACACAGGCUUAUUCCCCGAAAAGGAGGACUACUAUUUUCGAAAAUUAGUAUUGUUGUUUGGAUAGAAGCGGAGAAUAAGAGCUUAUUUCCCCACUUGAAUCCCAAUCAAAUAUUGCCCAAAUGGUAUUUAGAAAAGAAGAUAAAAAAAGACACAAAUUCCACAAAAGUGAAGUGGAUAGAAAAUAAUGUAGAGAGGAUUGGAUUAAAAAAAUAAAAAAAUAAAACAUGUACGAAAUUUAUCGCAAUUAUGAAUUAUUUUGAUUCAGCUAACUAAUCCUUUAAAACUUUACCUCACUAUUUAAUCUUUUAAUUUAAUUGAUUUGAAUCAAUCAACAACAUUUCUACUUUAACAUUUAAACUAAUUAUUUACUUAAUUAAAUUUGUAGCAGUGAAAUUGUAGAAAGUAUACUAACUAAACCUGUAAAGAUAAACGAACGACGUAUUCAAAUUUUGAUGUCAGAAUAUUGUUGGCCGACUAAAAUCAAACAAAUUGAAAGACUAGAUAGUGAAAUUAAAAUUUUGAAAGGUUUGAGUAGCUAAUUUCAAAUAGUCUAUAAUUUAAAUAAGUUCUAUGCCAUUUUACCAAAAAAGAAAAAAAUUUAAUUAAUAGAUGAGAUUUAAAAAAACAGGUUGGAUAAAAAGCAUUUAUUUCCUUCUCAUAAUAACUUUGGUAAGAACCAUUGUUAGAAUUUUUGUCCCUGCAUAGGGUUAAUUAAUAUCUUAUAAGAAUGUAACUUAUAUUAACUAUAGCCGUGUUAUAAGUUUUUUAACUUAUUUGAUUUGAGCUAGCUAAUAAAUUUUAUAAUUUAAAUUUUAUUAGCAUAUUUUAUAUAAUUUAUAUGAUUAUAUUUUUAUUAAAAUCAGUAAUGGGCCUAAUUUUGUACCAAAAAAGUUAUUAGAUAGUUUAAAUUAAGUAGACUAAAAGAUUAGAUAUCAAAAUUAAAUUGUAAAUAAUAAUAUUUAAUAUGCUCUUAAAAAUUUAAAAAAUAUCUUAUUUAUUUCUAGUGAUCAAAGUAUCUUCAUUGGCUUCCAAAAAUUCCAUCAAAUAUCCUAAUUCCCUUGGGUUUACUGGUAUGAUUGGAUUUUAGAAAAAUAUUUUGAAUGUUGAAGGAUAAAUUUGAAAAUAUUUAAUAGUAAUAAAAGAAAUAUAUAAGUAAAAGUUUCUAAAGUUUGUAAGAUUAGAUAAUUAUUUCAAAAUAUACAAAAGAAUGAUUCUUUAAAUGUUUAUAUUGUAUUUCAAGUACGAAGUUUGCCUUUAGAAACAAAAGAAGGAACCCUUAUCCCCAAUCAAAAGCUGCCAAGAACAUCUGAUAAGAUAGCCAGCGAAGCUUCGUACGGAACAUGUCACAAAACGUGUUUGGUGUAUAUAAAAUUAUCAUCCAAACCGCAUAUUUUUUUAAUUUAGAAUAGAAAAUUUAAUAGUAUAAAGCUGAUGCCUAUAAAUAGUAUUUCAACGUAGUUUUAUAUAUAUAUAUAGUAUAUAUUUGGUAGCAUCAAUAUCUUCGAUGCUAUAAUAGCCAUAGCAAUCAGACUAUAUACAUAUAUAUAGCAACAUGAAAAACGAUCUGAAAGCAUAGAAGGCUUCGUACUUCCAGAAUCAUAAUACCUCAUAUACUAACAUAAUAUAUAUAAUAAUAUAUAUAUAUAGUAUAUAUAUAUAUAUAUAUAUAAUAUAUAAAGGCAUACUUUAUUCCUUACAUAUAUUAUAAAUAAAUUAUAUAAAAUAAAUUAUUAUAUAUGAUAAAAUAAAUAUACUAUUUUAAAUUAACUUGUUAUAUAAAAUAUUAUAUUAUAAAUUACUAUAUGAAAUAAUUUUAUAAAUAAUUUCAUAUAAAAUAUACUAAUAUAAAUUAAUUUUUUAAUUUUAAAAAAUAUAUUUAGACAUUGUUCUAAACUUUUUAUUCAAACGCUACUAAGAAUAUUCUAUAAAAUAUUCCCAAAUGCAUCCAAACACAAAUUUACAAUUGUUUUAUCUUGUACCGGCAUAUCCUCUGUUCUGAAGAACAAUAAAAGUUGUUCUCCAAAAUUUAGUUCUCCAAUUAAACGCAAGCACUAAGUAGAAACGAACUUAAUAGAUUGUUCUAGAACAACCCGUUGUAACCGGAGCAACUUAUUCCAUCUAGUUUGAUUGAGGGAUAUCUCCUUUUGUUUUGGGAUAUUCCUGAUAACAAACGUAGCCAUUUGGCUGCAUUUAGUUCAGGUAUAAGUAAUUACUGCUUAUUUCAGAAUUAGAUACAAGUUCAGAUAUGAGCAAAAACUAGAUAAUUUUGCAUUUGGAAGAAAAUUGAAUUGCUCUUGAGAAUAAAGUAAUAGUGUUUGGAUGGUUAGAUAGAAACAAGAUAAAUAAGAGUUAUAAUUCUAAGUUAAAUUUUUUUUAUCUAAUUAAUUAACAUCAAAAUAUUAAUUAAAAAUAAUUUAAUAAAUUAAUAAAUUUAUUAGCUAUGAAUAUUGUAUAAAAUAAUAAAAAUAUAUUAAUAAAUUAAAUACAUAUAAAAAUAUAACUUUUUAAUUACUUAGAAAAUUAUUUUAGUUAGAUAACACUAAUAAAAAAAUUAAUUAAGUUAAUAAAAAUAUUAAUGGUUGAUCAAUAUAAAUAUUAGUUUAUGGAUAAACAUAUUUAAUUAUUAAUAAUUAAUUAGCUAAUUAAUUAUAAGUAAUAAAUUAAUUAAUUGUUUUAUUGUUUAAGCAAUGAAUAAUAAUUUAAAUAUAUUAAUUAAAUUAAUUAAUAAAUUAAUAUAAUAAUUAAAUUUAAAUUUAAAUUUUAAUUAAUCUUAUUCUCACUUGAAAAUAAAUUUAUUUCAGAAAAAAUGGUGAAACAACAGUUUUGAACUUAUAUGUAUUGGAUUAUACCAAUUUAUUUCACAAAUCCGAAAUUUGUAGUUUUAUUUUUCUUUUUUUUCUUUUUUUGAGAAAGAGGUAGCACGCUUCAUUCAUUAAGGAAAAUAAACUUAGCGUACACAAUAAAGACAGUUAGGACCUCCUAAAGGAUCCGAAAAUAGAGUAGAAUAAAACGAACAAAAGAAAAUUAAAAAAACCUCCCCCACUAAUCGUUUCGAAAAAAUAAUUGAGGCGAGGUAGAAAAUAAAAAAGCCUAAAGGAAAGAUCGAGAAGGAAUGCACAGUUAUGGGUCAAGAGCUUCACGGAUCGAGAAGGAAUGCACAGUCCGGCCUAAAGGAAAGAUCGAAAAGGAAAGACCGAAAUUUGUAGUUUUCAAGU